rnacentral:misc_RNA from 1 species
GGAAGUAAAAGUCGUAACAAGGUUUCCGUAGGUGAACCUGCGGAAGGAUCAUUAUCGAGUUUUGAAAUGGGUUGUAGCUGGCCUUUUUUAUUUAUUUAAUAAGGCAUGUGCACGCUCUGCUCAUCCACUCUUAACCCCUAUGUGCACUUGUGUAGAGUUUUACAAAAGAUAUCUUGUCGAAUAGACUUUAGAUAUUCUGAUGUAAUUCCCUACGUCUUUUUUUAUACAAACGCUUUAGUAACAGAAUGUUAUCUCGCAUUUAAUGCAUAUAUAAAUAUAACUUUCAGCAACGGAUCUCUUGGCUCUCGCAUCGAUGAAGAACGCAGCGAAAUGCGAUAAGUAAUGUGAAUUGCAGAAUUCAGUGAAUCAUCGAAUCUUUGAACGCAACUUGCACUCCUUGGUAUUCCAAGGAGUAUACCUGUUUGAGUAUCAUGAAAUUUUCAAUCCAUAAAAAUUUAUUUUUAUGGACUUGGAUUUGGAGGUCGUGCCGGCUUUUUCAAAGUAUGGCUCCUCUUAAAUACAUUAGCGCAAAACUUUUACCUAUCGCUCACUGGUGUGAUAAUUAUCUAUGCCAUAAGCGGUGUAAAGUGUAAAUGUUGUUUUUUUUGCGCUUCUAAUCAUCCUUUUUUUUUUUAUAAGGAUAAUUAUAUUUUAAUAUCUUGAUCUCAAAUCAGGUAGGACUACCCGCUGAACUUAAGCAUAUCAAUAAGCGGAGGAAAAGAAACUAACAAGGAUUCCCCUAGUAACUGCGAGUGAAGCGGGAAAAGCUCAAAUUUAAAAUCUAAUAUUUUUUAACUAUUCGAGUUGUAAUCUGGARAAGUGUUUUCCG